GGCCUGGUGGUCUAGUAGUAUGAUUCCUUGUUAGGGUAACAAUGCCAGACAUUCUCGAGGAGGUCCCGGGUUCAAUUCCUGGCCAGGCCC